rnacentral:rRNA from 1 species
AGCGAACGCUGGCGGCAGGCUUAACACAUGCAAGUCGAGCGGGCGUAGCAAUACGUCAGCGGCAGACGGGUGAGUAACGCGUGGGUACGUACCUUUUGGUUCGGAACAACACAGGGAAACUUGUGCUAAUACCGGAUAAGCCCUUACGGGGAAAGAUUUAUCGCCGAAAGAUCGGCCCGCGUCUGAUUAGCUAGUUGGUGAGGUAAUGGCUCACCAAGGCGACGAUCAGUAGCUGGUCUGAGAGGAUGAUCAGCCACAUUGGGACUGAGACACGGCCCAAACUCCUACGGGAGGCAGCAGUGGGGAAUAUUGGACAAUGGGGGCAACCCUGAUCCAGCCAUGCCGCGUGAGUGAUGAAGGCCCUAGGGUUGUAAAGCUCUUUUGUGCGGGAAGAUAAUGACGGUACCGCAAGAAUAAGCCCCGGCUAACUUCGUGCCAGCCGCCGCGGUAACAC